GUGUUCGCCUUGGCAGUACAUAUACUAAAGUUAAAAUGAUACAGAGAUUAGCGUGGCCCCUGUGCAAGGAUGACAAGUUCUAAAAAUUUAUUAAUAUUU
ensembl:snRNA U6 U6 spliceosomal RNA